rnacentral:rRNA from 1 species
UCAGGCCUAACACAUGCAAGUCGAGGGGUAUAGUAGCAAUACUAGAGACCGGCGCACGGGUGCGUAACGCGUAUGCAAUCUACCUUUUACAGGGGAAUAGCCCAGAGAAAUUUGGAUUAAUGCCUCAUAGGAUAUAGGAAUCGCAUGGUUUUUAUAUUAAAGUUCCAACGGUAAAAGAUGAGCAUGCGUCCCAUUAGUUAGUUGGUAAGGUAACGGCUUACCAAGACGAUGAUGGGUAGGGGUCCUGAGAGGGGGAUCCCCCACACUGGUACUGAGACACGGACCAGACUCCUACGGGAGGCAGCAGUGAGGAAUAUUGGACAAUGGGCGCAAGCCUGAAAGGGCCAUGCCGCGUGCAGGAAGACGGUCCUA